AUUAGAUACCCUGGUAGUCCACGCAGUAAACGAUGAAUGCUGGCUGUCCGGCCCGGUACAGGGCUGGGUGGCGAAGCGAAAGCGAUAAGCAUUCCACCUGGGGAGUACGCCGGCAACGGUGAAACUCAAAGGAAUUGACGGGGGCCCGCACAAGCGGAGGAACAUGUGGUUUAAUUCGAUGAUACGCGAGGAACCUUACCCGGGCUCAAACGGGAGACGGAUGACGCAGAGACGCGUCAGACCCACGGGACGUCUUCCGAGGUGCUGCAUGGUUGUCGUCAGCUCGUGCCGUGAGGUGUCGGCUUAAGUGCCAUAACGAGCGCAACCCCCGCGGGCAGUUGCCAUCAGGUGAUGCUGGGGACUCUGCCCGGACUGCCGGCGCAAGCCGCGAGGAAGGCGGGGAUGACGUCAAAUCAGCACGGCCCUUACGUCCGGGGCGACACACGUGUUACAAUGGGGGGUACAGCGGGAAGCCAGGCGGUGACGCCGAGCGGAACCCGAAAGCCCCUCUCAGUUCGGAUCGGAGUCUGCAACCCGACUCCGUGAAGCUGGAUUCGCUAGUAAUCGCGCAUCAGCCAUGGCGCGGUGAAUACGUUCCCGGGCCUUGUACACACCGCCCGUCAAGCCAUGGGAGCCGGGAGCGCUUGAAGUACGGAGAACCCGUCCUAGAGCGAAAUCGGUGACUGGGGCUAAGUCGUAACAAGGUAACAAGGGCGAA
rnacentral:rRNA from 1 species